GGUUAAGCGACUAAGCGUACACGGUGGAUGCCCUGGCAGUCAGAGGCGAUGAAGGACGUGCUAAUCUGCGAAAAGCGUCGGUAAGGUGAUAUGAACCGUUAUAACCGGCGAUGUCCGAAUGGGGAAACCCAGUGCAAUUCGUUGCACUAUCGUUAACUGAAUACAUAGGUUAACGAGGCGAACCGGGGGAACUGAAACAUCUAAGUACCCCGAGGAAAAGAAAUCAACCGAGAUUCCCCCAGUAGCGGCGAGCGAACGGGGAGCAGCCCAGAGUCUGAAUCAGCUUGUGUGUUAGUGGAACGGUCUGGAAAGUCCGACGGUACAGGGUGAUAGUCCCGUACACCAAAAUGCACAGGCUGUGAACUCGAAGAGUAGGGCGGGACACGUGGUAUCCUGUCUGAAUAUGGGGGGACCAUCCUCCAAGGCUAAAUACUCCUGACUGACCGAUAGUGAACCAGUACCGUGAGGGAAAGGCGAAAAGAACCCCGGCGAGGGGAGUGAAAAAGAACCUGAAACCGUGUACGUACAAGCAGUGGGAGCACCUUCGGGUGUGACUGCGUACCUUUUGUAUAAUGGGUCAGCGACUUAUAUUCUGUAGCAAGGUUAACCGUAUAGGGGAGCCGCAGGGAAACCGAGUCUUAACUGGGCGUUAAGUUGCAGGGUAUAGACCCGAAACCCGGUGAUCUAGCCAUGGGCAGGUUGAAGGUUGGGUAACACUAACUGGAGGACCGAACCGACUAAUGUUGAAAAAUUAGCGGAUGACUUGUGGCUGGGGGUGAAAGGCCAAUCAAACCGGGAGAUAGCUGGUUCUCCCCGAAAGCUAUUUAGGUAGCGCCUCGUGAAUUCAUCUUCGGGGGUAGAGCACUGUUUCGGCUAGGGGGUCAUCCCGACUUACCAACCCGAUGCAAACUACGAAUACCGAAGAAUGUUAUCACGGGAGACACACGGCGGGUGCUAACGUCCGUCGUGAAGAGGGAAACAACCCAGACCGCCAGCUAAGGUCCCAAAGUCAUGGUUAAGUGGGAAACGAUGUGGGAAGGCACAGACAGCCAGGAUGUUGGCUUAGAAGCAGCCAUCAUUUAAAGAAAGCGUAAUAGCUCACUGGUCGAGUCGGCCUGCGCGGAAGAUGUAACGGGGCUAAACCAUGCACCGAAGCUGCGGCAGCGACACUAUGUGUUGUUGGGUAGGGGAGCGUUCUGUAAGCCUGCGAAGGUGUGCUGUGAGGCAUGCUGGAGGUAUCAGAAGUGCGAAUGCUGACAUAAGUAACGAUAAAGCGGGUGAAAAGCCCGCUCGCCGGAAGACCAAGGGUUCCUGUCCAACGUUAAUCGGGGCAGGGUGAGUCGACCCCUAAGGCGAGGCCGAAAGGCGUAGUCGAUGGGAAACAGGUUAAUAUUCCUGUACUUGGUGUUACUGCGAAGGGGGGACGGAGAAGGCUAUGUUAGCCGGGCGACGGUUGUCCCGGUUUAAGCAUGUAGGCUGGUUGUCCAGGCAAAUCCGGAUAAUCAAGGCUGAGGUGUGAUGACGAGGCACUACGGUGCUGAAGUAACAAAUGCCCUGCUUCCAGGAAAAGCCUCUAAGCAUCAGGUAACAUUAAAUCGUACCCCAAACCGACACAGGUGGUCAGGUAGAGAAUACCAAGGCGCUUGAGAGAACUCGGGUGAAGGAACUAGGCAAAAUGGUGCCGUAACUUCGGGAGAAGGCACGCUGGUGUGUAGGUGAAGUCCCUGCGGAUGGAGCUGAGACCAGUCGAAGAUACCAGCUGGCUGCAACUGUUUAUUAAAAACACAGCACUGUGCAAACACGAAAGUGGACGUAUACGGUGUGACGCCUGCCCGGUGCCGGAAGGUUAAUUGAUGGGGUUAUCCGUAAGGAGAAGCUCUUGAUCGAAGCCCCGGUAAACGGCGGCCGUAACUAUAACGGUCCUAAGGUAGCGAAAUUCCUUGUCGGGUAAGUUCCGACCUGCACGAAUGGCGUAAUGAUGGCCAGGCUGUCUCCACCCGAGACUCAGUGAAAUUGAACUCGCUGUGAAGAUGCAGUGUACCCGCGGCAAGACGGAAAGACCCCGUGAACCUUUACUAUAGCUUGACACUGAACAUUGAGCCUUGAUGUGUAGGAUAGGUGGGAGGCUUUGAAGCGUGGACGCCAGUCUGCGUGGAGCCAACCUUGAAAUACCACCCUUUAAUGUUUGAUGUUCUAACGUUGGCCCCU
rnacentral:rRNA from 1 species